GACGGGUGAGAAUCCCGUCCACCGAUUGACUAAGGUUUCCAGAGGAAGGCUCGUCCGCUCUGGGUUAGUCGGGUCCUAAGCUGAGGCCGACAGGCGUAGGCGAUGGAUAACAGGUUGAUAUUCCUGUACCACCUAUAAUCGUUUUAAUCGAUGGGGGGACGCAGUAGGAUAGGCGAAGCGUGCGAUUGGAUUGCACGUCUAAGCAGUAAGGCUGAGUAUUAGGCAAAUCCGGUACUCGUUAAGGCUGAGCUGUGAUGGGGAGAAGACAUUGUGUCUUCGAGUCGUUGAUUUCACACUGCCGAGAAAAGCCUCUAGAUAGAAAAUAGGUGCCCGUACCGCAAACCGACACAGGUAGUCAAGAUGAGAAUUCUAAGGUGAGCGAGCGAACUCUCGUUAAGGAACUCGGCAAAAUGACCCCGUAACUUCGGGAGAAGGGGUGCUCUUUAGGGUUAACGCCCAGAAGAGCCGCAGUGAAUAGGCCCAAGCGACUGUUUAUCAAAAACACAGGUCUCUGCUAAACCGUAAGGUGAUGUAUAGGGGCUGACGCCUGCCCGGUGCUGGAAGGUUAAGAGGAGUGGUUAGCUUCUGCGAAGCUACGAAUCGAAGCCCCAGUAAACGGCGGCCGUAACUAUAACGGUCCUAAGGUAGCGAAAUUCCUUGUCGGGUAAGUUCCGACCCGCACGAAAGGCGUAACGAUUUGGGCACUGUCUCAACGAGAGACUCGGUGAAAUCAUAGUACCUGUGAAGAUGCAGGUUACCCGCGACAGGACGGAAAGACCCCGUGGAGCUUUACUGUAGCCUGAUAUUGAAAUUCGGCACAGCUUGUACAGGAUAGGUAGGAGCCUUUGAAACGUGAGCGCUAGCUUACGUGGAGGCGCUGGUGGGAUACUACCCUAGCUGUGUUGGCUUUCUAACCCGCACCACUUAUCGUGGUGGGAGACAGUGUCAGGCGGGCAGUUUGACUGGGGCGGUCGCCUCCUAAAAGGUAACGGAGGCGCUCAAAGGUUCCCUCAGAAUGGUUGGAAAUCAUUCAUAGAGUGUAAAGGCAUAAGGGAGCUUGACUGCGAGACCUACAAGUCGAGCAGGGUCGAAAGACGGACUUAGUGAUCCGGUGGUUCCGCAUGGAAGGGCCAUCGCUCAACGGAUAAAAGCUACCCCGGGGAUAACAGGCUUAUCUCCCCCAAGAGUUCACAUCGACGGGGAGGUUUGGCACCUCGAUGUCGGCUCAUCGCAUCCUGGGGCUGUAGUCGGUCCCAAGGGUUGGGCUGUUCGCCCAUUAAAGCGGUACGCGAGCUGGGUUCAGAACGUCGUGAGACAGUUCGGUCCCUAUCCGUCGUGGGC
rnacentral:rRNA from 1 species